rnacentral:rRNA from 1 species
CCUACGGGCGGCAGCAGUAGGGAAUAUUGGUCAAUGGACGAAACCCUGAACCAGCAACGCCGCGUGCAGGAUGAAGGUUCUAUGAUUGUUAACCCCUUUUUUUAGAGGAGAUUAUGACGGUAUGUAUCGCAUAAUCACCGUCUCACUCCGUUCCAGCUCCCGGGGUAACACGGAGGGUGCCAGGGUUACACGGAAUAACUGGGGGUAAAGCGUGCGUAUGGGGGGUAAUAGGUGAGAUGUAAAAUACGGUAGCUAAACCCCAGAACGGCUCUGAAACUGUUAACCUGGAGUGUGGGAGAGGUAGGCGGAAUGCGUGGUGUAGGGGUAAAAUGCGUAGAGAUCAAGAAGAACACCGAUUGCGAAGGCAGCCUGCUGGAACAUAACUGACGCUGAUGCACGAAAGCGUGGGGAGCAAACAGGAUUAGAUACCCUGGUAGUC